rnacentral:rRNA from 1 species
UACGUAGGGGGCAAGCGUUGUCCGGAAUCAUUGGGCGUAAAGCGCGUGUAGGCGGUCCGGUAAGUCCGCUGUGAAAGUCGGGGGCUUAACCCUCGGAUGCCGGUGGAUACUGUCGGGCUUGAGUACGGAAGAGGCGAGUGGAAUUCCUGGUGUAGUGGUGAAAUGCGCAGAUAUCAGGAGGAACACCAAUUGCGAAGGCAGCUCGCUGGGACGUUACUGACGCUGAGACGCGAAAGCGUGGGGAGCAAACAGG